AAGGGAUCAGAUCUCCUUGGAGAAUUGAUUGAUUUCCUGGAAGAAAUAGAAUGGAACCUCUUAAGAACCACUGGGCUAGAUGCCUUCCAUCAGCCAAGGGCAAUCCUAAGCCCCAUUUUCCCUACAAUGUGUCCCAAACAAGUUGGCCGAGGUCUUCAGUGACACGUUCAAGAUUUGGAGCACAAGGAGUGUUCUCAAUGGUAGGACUCCGAUGACAUUGGCUCCUAUGGCCCCUCCUCCUCCGAGAAGUGAUUUCAAUUCUUGGAAACACAGGGACUUUAAAAUUUUCUUUCCAUGCUCCUCCCUUUCUUGGCAUUCUCCUGGAAAUACAGAAAUACAAAGAAAUUUAUCUCUUCAAUAAAUUCUAAUAAUGGCAGAACUUUCUGCCAACUAUGA